rnacentral:tRNA from 1 species
GGUUCUGUGGCUGAGCGGUUAGGCGAAGGUCCGCAAGACCUUUUACAGUAGUUCGAAUCUACUCAGAAUCU